rnacentral:lncRNA from 1 species
UUUGCAUUGAGUUUUCAUAUCCGAAUCAGACUUGUGGUCGAACCGUAAGAUCUAGUAACUCAUAUAUAGUGGGAUAGAAUAUAAUAAAAUGAAUAUAGUAAAAAUAUCUGAAAAAUCAAAAAGACCGUUAUUAACCCACUGAGAAAAAUAUAAUUUGUUUUUUUGUUUUAUAAAUUUUUGAUAUAUUAAUAUACAUUUGACUUGUAUAAGAAAUUUUUUUUAACAAAUAUUGUUAAGUUUAUUUAUAAAUAUAUUAAUUAUCAAUCUACCAAAAUUGUGAAACAAGUAUUAUUUUUUUUCUUUUUUAAUUUUCUAUCAAACUAUUAUCAAUUUUUUUUUUUAAAAAAAUCAGUUUGUGACAGAUAUUUUAUUAUUAGAAAUCCAUACAAUAUAAAUAAUGUUACAUUUAUAUGUAUUUAUGUAUAAAAUGGUCUUCAUAAUUUGGGAUUUUGUAAAAAUGGAUCUAAAGUUAAUUUGGUUAAUUUUUUUUUCUGUAACAAAAGUUAAUUGGAUUUAUAAUUUUA